CCUAUUUAUUCAACUCCUCCACUUUUCUCUCUUCUUCCCCAAAUCUCUCUCUUUCUGCCUCUCUCUCUCUCUCUCUCUGAAACUCUAGAAACCCUAAUUCCAAUUGAGAUUUCCAUUGAAUCGCUGAAAAACGCUUUGUUUGUGAGCUUCUCUGAUUGAUCUCGGCCAUCAGAAGCCCCGGAUUGAAGAAACGGGGCCCUGACCCGGUCUGAAGAUGUCGACCUCGAGCGUGUCUUCAGUCUAUCUACACGUUGUUGAUUCCGUCGUCAGCAAGCUGCGGGAAGAGUUCCUCAAUGAGGGUGUCGAUGAUUCCGUUCUCAACGAGCUUCAAGGGCUGUGGGAGCUAAAAAUGUUGCAAUGUGGAGCAGUACAAGGCCCUAUUGAAAGAAGCUCUGUUCCUAGAGCAACGAUUCCUGCCCCCGUCCAUGAUCUGAAUGUGCCAUAUGAAGGGCCAGAAGAAUAUGAAACUCCAACAGCAGAGAUGCUCUUUCCGCCGACACCUUUACAAACGCCCAUACAGACACCAUUGCCUGUAGAACCUGGAGGAUAUCAAUACUACCCUGCAGGUCCCAGUCCUGCAGGUCCCAGUGAAUUUGGCACUAUACCUGAUACAGGGGCUGCUGCCGAGCUAAAAACUGCAAGACCUGCUCCAUACAUGCAACAACCAUCUCCAUGGAUGACCCAGAGACCGCUUGGGGUUGAUGUCAAUGUUGCUUAUGAGGAAGCAAGGGAGGAGGAAGAAGGGGGAGGAAUAUCUCAGCCACCCAUGAAGGAUUUUUUCAUGCUAACUGCUGGUAAACGGAAACGAGAGGACUACCCUCCGCAUUUGCUUCCAGGUGGUUAUAUUCCUCAGCAAGAUGGAUCAGGAGACAUUUCCCCAAAUCAUUCUCUUCAAGAAAAGGUCCUUCUAGGAGAGAACCCAUCAAAUAAAGAACAUUCUCUGGCCUUUAAUGACAGAUUAAAUCUUCAAGCUAGGAAGAAAGCUGAUGCUACAAUUGCUUCAAUGAUUAAAAUGAAGCAGUACCCUCUGUUGAUUCCACAACAAGAUGGUUUCAAUGAUGUUUAUGAUGAUGGUGGUGGCAAUGAAGAUUAUAAUACACCAUCGUACUAUGAUCCACUUACCCCCCAUAAUGUGGGAACCCCAAAACCAACAAAAAACGAAGCACUAGAAGAUGAUGAGCCACCUCUAAAUGAAGAUGACGACGAUGAUGAUUUGGAUGACCUUGAGCAGGGAGAUGAAGAACCCAGUACCAAUCAUUUGGUAUUGGCUCAGUUUGAAAAGAUUUUCAAAAACAUGAUAUACAAGCAUCCUAGAGUUCUAAUGCAAGGAGCCUUGGUGUGGGAGGUUCUAAUGCAUCUGCAGUUAUUCAGGUAAAUAGAACCAAGAGCAAAUGGAAAUGUAUUCUCAAGGAUGGAAUAAUGCACUUGAACAAUAAGGACAUUCUGUUCACAAAGGCGAACGGGGAGUUUGAUUUUUGAGGCUAAGGUUGAGCCUGAUGCACUAAUCCCACAUGGCCCCUCGAGUUUUUAUUAUAUUGUCUUAAUUCUUUUUUCCUGUUGUAUUUGUUUGAUCAGUUGAUUUUCCUGUUCACAUUUGUAGGAGUGAGAAGAAAAAAAAAAAAAAGAAAAGAAAAGAAAGAAAAGAAUAGAAACCCUGAAUUUUGUAAGAACCCCGUCUAGAUAUAUUCUUAAUUUUAUAUGAACAUUGAGUGUUAAUUAAAUUGACCAUCUUAUUUGGCUCAUUUCUGAUAAAUGUGAAAUUGAAUAUUCAGAA